rnacentral:lncRNA from 1 species
AUUCCUCCAAAGAAACUCACUAAUCUAGAUAAGUUUAUAACUGAUUAUGGAUUCAAAGGACAGCUAAACUCACAACAAAUUGUUGCCUCAGAGGUGAGACCUGGUUAAACUUAGCCAUAAUUAAGUGGGUUAAACUUAGCCAUUAAUUAGCCGUAAUUAAGUUAAGAAAGUAGGAAAUUGUGUUUGUGUGUGAAUGGAGGACUAAGCCAUUGAAAGAGUUGAUAGGAGAACUCUGCUAGUCCUGUGUUUUAUUAUUUUGCUCAUAAGAAAACGAAGUACUGGUGAUCAGGGGACAAACUAACACCGCUGUGCAGAUAGUGCACAGUAGAAGGGUUAGGGUUAGUGUCCUCCCUCUGAGGACUCUGUGCCAGAGAACUUUUCUGUGAGACCACAUAGUACAACAUGCCGCUGUUCAAGAAAAAGGAUGUCGAACUUGAGGGGGAUGAAAAGUUUGUGGAAGGAGAUGCAGAAGGUUCAGGGAAAAUAAGUCAGGAAAGGUGGAGAAGAAAGUUGAAUCUUUCAGGCAAACUCUGCACUACAGAUAUUCUGGAGUUGCAGACAAACCUGGAAAUUGAGAAGUAAGUUGAGAGACAUCUAGAUGGAACAAAGUAAGUUGAGAGACAUCUAGAUGGAACAAAGUAAGUUGAGAGACAUCUCGAUGGAACAAAGUAAGUUGAGAGACAUAGAUGGAACAAAGUAAGUUGAGAGACAUCUAGAUGGAACAAAGUAAGUUGAGAGACAUAUAGAUGGAACAAAGUAAGUUGAGAGACAUCUAGAUGGAACAAAGUAAGUUGAGAGACAUCUCGAUGGAACAAAGUAAGUUGAGAGACAUAGAUGGAACAAAGUAAGUUGAGAGACAUCUAGAUGGAACAAAGUAAGUUGAGAGACAUAUAGAUGGAACAAAGUAAGUUGAGAGACAUCUAGAUGGAACAAAGUAAGUUGAGAGACAUAGAUGGAACAAAGUAAGUUGAGAGACAUCUAGAUGGAACAAAGUAAGUUGAGAGACAUAUAGAUGGAACAAAGUAGGUUGAGAGACAUAUAGAUGGAACAAAGUAAGUUGAGAGACAUAGAUGGAACAAAGUAAGUUGAGAGACAUCUAGAUGGAACAAAGUAAGUUGAGAGACAUAUAGAUGGAACAAAGUAAGUUGAGAGACAUCUAGAUGGAACAAAGUAAGUUGAGAGACAUCUAGAUGGAACAAAGUAAGUUGAGAGACAUCUAGAUGGAACAAAGUAAGUUGAGAGACAUAGAUGGAACAAAGUAAGUUGAGAGACAUAUAGAUGGAACAAAGUAAGUUGAGAGACAUAUAGAUGGAACAAAGUAAGUUGAGAGACAUAGAUGGAACAAAGUAAGUUGAGAGACAUCUCGAUGGAACAAAUUAAGUUGAGAGACAUCUAGAUGGAACAAAGUAAGUUGAGAGACAUCUAGAUGGAACAAAGUAAGUUGAGAGACAUAUAGAUGGAACAAAGUAAGUUGAGAGACAUAGAUGGAACAAAGUAAGUUGAGAGACAUAUAGAUGGAACAAAGUAAGUUGAGAGACAUAUAAAUGGAACAAAGUAAGUUGAGAGACAUAGAUGGAACAAAGUAAGUUGAGAGACAUAGAUGGAACAAAGUAAGUUGAGAGACAUCUCGAUGGAACAAAGUAAGUUGAGAGACAUCUAGAUGGAACAAAGUAAGUUGAGAGACAUCUCGAUGGAACAAAGUAAGUUGAGAGGCAUAUAGAUGGAAAAAAAGUAAGUUGAGAGACAUCUAGAUGGAACAAAGUAAGUUGAGAGACAUAUAGAUGGAACAAAGUAAGUUGAGAGACAUCUCGAUGGAACAAAGUAAGUUGAGAGACAUAGAUGGAACAAAGUAAGUUGAGAGACAUAGAUGGAACAAAGUAAGUUGAGAGACAUCUAGAUGGAACAAAGUAAGUUGAGAGACAUCUCGAUGGAACAAAGUAAGUUGAGAGGCAUAUAGAUGGAAAAAAGUAAGUUGAGAGACAUCUAGAUGGAACAAAGUAAGUUGAGAGACAUCUAGAUGGAACAAAGUAAGUUGAGAGACAUCUCGAUGGAACAAAGUAAGUUGAGAGACAUAGAUGGAACAAAGUAAGUUGAGAGACAUCUAGAUGGAACAAAGUAAGUUGAGAGACAUCUAGAUGGAACAAAGUAAGUUGAGAGACAUCUAGAUGGAACAAAGUAAGUUGAGAGACAUCUCGAUGGAACAAAGUAAGUUGAGAGACAUCUAGAUGGAACAAAGUAAGUUGAGAGACAUAGAUGGAACAAAGUAAGUUGAGAGACAUCUAGAUGGAACAAAGUAAGUUGAGAGACAUAUAGAUGGAACAAAGUAGGUUGAGAGACAUAUAGAUGGAACAAAGUAAGUUGAGAGACAUAUAGAUGGAACAAAGUAAGUUGAGAGACAUAGAUGGAACAAAGUAAGUUGAGAGACAUCUAGAUGGAACAAAGUAAGUUGAGAGACAUAUAGAUGGAACAAAGUAAGUUGAGAGACAUCUAGAUGGAACAAAGUAAGUUGAGAGACAUCUAGAUGGAACAAAGUAAGUUGAGAGACAUAUAGAUGGAACAAAGUAAGUUGAGAGACAUAUAGAUGGAACAAAGUAAGUUGAGAGACAUAUAGAUGGAACAAAGUAAGUUGAGAGACAUAUAGAUGGAACAAAGUAAGUUGAGACAUAUAAAUGGAACAAAGUAAGUUGAGAGACAUCUCGAUGGAACAAAUUAAGUUGAGAGACAUAUAGAUGGAACAAAGUAAGUUGAGAGACAUCUAGAUAGAACAAAGUAAGCCAUAGGAAAGGCACAAAACAGAUGAUGUAGAACCACGUGACUGCCAAGAAUUAGCUGAACAAACUGCAAAAAGUAGAAGUGAUUUAGAUCAACCUUUAAAAGCUGGAGCAUUUUUGUUUAUAGAUGGCUCAUCAAAGAAAAAUGAGCAACCUUAAAAGAAUAAUCUAUGUAUGACCAGCAGGAAAAUC